GGGGAUGAUCGGUUUCGACGGAAAAGUACUUUGAAAAACUGCAAGCAGACUUUGAUCCUAGAGGUCUUGAUUAGGAUCAAAAUAAAAGUGAGACUAAAAACAGUUUCGCUUCGUUUUUAGCAUCUGCUAAUCCAUUCGCCGCAAGGCCAAUGGCCUACGCAAUCGCUUAAGACGAUGUCUUUAGAUUUGUUUCUUACUCGAAUCUAAUAGGCAUAAACCAAGUAGGAUAGAUAGUCGGUCUUUGAUUAGAGGCUGAUGAUUCGAAAAUAAUUAAUCUUACCUUUAAAGAAUUUGUUAGUUUAUAACUUUGAAGGAAAAUUUUUAAAUUAAAUAAGCUUGUAGUAGUUUUUCUUUUAUUAUUUUUUCGGACGAGGGUUCGAUUCCCUCCAUCUCCACAA
rnacentral:tmRNA from 1 species